rnacentral:lncRNA from 1 species
AGAGUAGUUUUGCAAAAAUGGAGGAUACCAGACUGACCCAUGGAGCAUGAUAUCCUCCUUGUCAGGGGCCACCUUACUUGUAUGGCUUCAGGCUGAGGAGACCCUUCUAAUUAAGGUGGUUACUACUUACUUGCUGAUUUGAACCUAGAAGAGAAUGUCAUUUCGUGUUUGUUAGUAGGAUCUCAUGUUUAAUCUACAGAUCUAUUUAGUCAGUGUAUUUGCAGACCAGUUGCGAGUUUUUACCUGGGAAAAUGAACAUUUUUCUACCUCAAAUUUGCAUAUCAGUAUCCCUGUUUGAUUUAAGAUUGCUUUUCUUAUUAUGAAGAAGAUUUGUGCUGCUGCUAUUGCGUUCUUCAGUUUCUGGUCAUUGGUUCAUCUGCAAAUGUGUGGACCUCCCUCCCUUUUGCUCGAUUGCUCCACCUUGCUCCUUUGGCUGAUUAUAACAGCUAUUUCCGCAGCCCAUGACGCUGGUUGAGGUUAGUCUUUCAGCAUAUGUUUUCUUCAUUACAUGUCCUUUAAAUUGCAGCAUAGGCCCCUUACAAAUAAGUUAAUUAACUAGAUGUCUGCAUAAAUAUAUUUGCCUGAUGGGUUUCCCUACUAUGGCUCAUGGUCAUAGAUGUAGUUUGCCUUUGCUGCUGUUGUUUCUCUCAAUAUUUCUAUCCCACUAUACUGUAUGUGUUCUAAAUGUACCGGUAUAUGAAAGAUGAUUAUCUCCAUUAUUAUUGUUCGUACUACCAUUUUUAUCCAAGAUUCAAAACACCUAACACGUGCCCUUUUUUAAAGUAUCUUUAACGUAGCCUAUUGGUUCUUAACUUACUAUCAACUACUAGCGAAGAUAGCUUUCUGAAAUAAGCAUGAUAAGCAUGAACAUUGUUCUACUCACGGGAAGAACCCUCAGGUGAUGAUAGGUCAUGGUUCUUUGCCAUUUCCUUUACAAAAUCGGUUCAAUCUUGUAAUUCUAAGUUAGUAUCAAGUCCUAUAUACCUUUCUGUUUGUAUAAAUUCACAACUUUCAUGGAAGCUCUCAAAUUGCGAGUAUUAAUCUCAGGUUGUUGGGUAUGUUUGCUGGUAGUAUGCUGCCAUGCAUCCACUGAGCAAUUUUCUUGUGAUUUACUUGUGAUGACACAUUUCUAAUCUUUCUCUUUGGGAUACUGAAAUAUGGUUUGCCUUGGGAAAUAUCUGAGAUAGGAUCCAUGCUACUUUAUUUGAAUUGUUUUUAUGUUUGCACCCUUAUUUUGAUUUUAGUUACGAUGUUCUCUUUCUUUUGAUUGCUCACAUGUGUUUUUUGAUUUUAGUUACGAUGUUACUUGUGAUGACACAUUUCUAAUCUUUCUUUUGUCACCAUUCUUUGAGAUAUGAAAGAUGAUGUAUUUUGUUGCAUCCUUAUUCUAAGCAAACUUUUGCAUUUAUUUCAUGGUUUUAAUUAAAAUUUAAAAUUAUGCCUUCAUGUUACUCAAAUAACAUAAAAAAAUAUGCAUGCUUAAGUAUAUAUUUUGAAAGAUGAGCCAUUUUUAUUUUUUAUAUAUAAAAGGGUUAGCCAUGUUAUCCUAGGUGUUUUUAAAACAUAAAAUUACUAACAAAUGCAAAUAGUUUCAAUUCGUAUAUGGUUUCAAAUGGGUCUCUGCGCCAUUUGGCGCACCGGGUCAUCUAGUGUCACCAAAAAUUGUAUUGUUUGGUUCAUAUAUGAAUGUACUUUCGAUUUAUAUUAUUUUUGCAACGUAUAACAUAUAUUUUAUGUGCGAAAAUCAUGGUUAAUUAUGACCCAGAAUAAAAGGGAGACUAGUUAAUGUGGG